rnacentral:lncRNA from 1 species
CAUUUCUUCUCAGACAACAAAAUAUAGAAUUUAUGUUGCCUGAUUUGUAAAAUGGAUAGCUAAAAAUUAAGGCUGAGAUGUAGCAGCGGGAAAUCUCCCGCUCCUGCAAGCUAAGGAUGUCAUUUCUUCUCAGACAACAAAAUAUACAAUUUACGUUGUCUGAUUUGUAAAAUGGAUAGGUAAAAAAUUGAGGCUGAGAUGUAGUAGCGGGAGAUUUCCUGCUCUUGUAAGUUAAGGGAUGUCAUUUCUUCUCAGACAACAAAAUAUAUAAUUUACGUCGUCUAAUUUGUAAAAUAGAUAGGUAAAAAAUUAAAGCCGAGACGUAGCAGCGGGAGAUCUCCCGCUCUUGCAACUUAAAGAUGUCAUUUCUCAUACAACCAAAAUUUGGAGUUAUGUUGUAUGAUAUGAGAAACACUUGAUAUGACUCAAAAACCUAAGGGAGUUGACACUUAGAAAAAAAAAACUGUAUCACUCAAAACUAUCGCGCGCGCACACACUUUCAACACACACUCACCGCUCUUUCUCUCUUCUCUCUUCUCUCUUCUCUCUUUCUCUCUCGAACAAAGCUAGAAACCGCGCACUCUCUCACUUUCUCUCUUCUCUCUUCCUCAAUCACUCCUCUCAAUCACUCCUCCCUCAAUCGAGAGUAAGCCACUGUCACUUGAUUAGGGUUCGUUGAUUUGGGGAGUUCGUCGAUUUGGGGGUUCGUCCAUUUGGCGCGUCACUCGAUUUCUUCCAAUGUGGUUCAAGGUUUGUACUCUUCUCCUUUCUCCGAUUAGGUUUCUGGGUUGGUAUUAUUAGUUGAGCUGCUAAGCCUCUAGUCCCAGUUGCUCUCUCUUUCUCUAAUCAAGUUUAUAAGUAGGAACCGAUGCGACUGUUUAGUAGUAACCACACUUCAUUCACACCGGUUUUGUCUUUUCUUGAAUCCCCCAACUUGGUCUUUCUCUCUCAUUGUUCAUAGCUUUCUCUUCUUCCAGUUGAGGCUUCUCUGUUCUUGUCUUG